CCGCCCAUAGCUCAAUUGGCAGAGCAACACCCUUUUAAGGUGGAGGUUCCAGGAUCGUUGCCUGGUGGGCGGA
rnacentral:tRNA from 1 species